rnacentral:rRNA from 1 species
CCUACGGGAGGCAGCAGUGGGGAAUAUUGGACAAUGGGGGCAACCCUGAUCCAGCAAUGCCGCGUGCGUGAAGAGGGUCUUCGGAUUGUAAAGCACUUUCGACGGGGACGAUGAUGACGGUAUCCGUAGAAGAAGCCCCGGCUAACUUCGUGCCAGCAGCCGCGGUAAUA